rnacentral:rRNA from 1 species
CUAGCGACUUCAGAGUUUGAUCCUGGCUCAGGAUGAACGCUGGCGGCGUGCUUAACACAUGCAAGUCGAACGGAACUGCAUAUGAAGAUUUACUUCGGUAAUGAUUCGCUUGUAGUUUAGUGGCGGACGGGUGAGUAACGCGUGAGUAACCUGCCCUUGAGAGGGGGAUAACGUUCUGAAAAGGACGCUAAUACCGCAUAAUACUAUUGAAUCGCAUGGUUUAAUAGUCAAAACUGAGGUGCUCAGGGAUGGACUCGCGUCCGAUUAGAUAGUUGGUGAGGUAACGGCUCACCAAGUCGACGAUCGGUAGCCGGACUGAGAGGUUGAACGGCCACAUUGGGACUGAGACACGGCCCAG